rnacentral:rRNA from 1 species
CUAUUUUAAUUACUUAUGAGUUUCGCUCUACACCCUUUGUGAACAUACCUAUUACUGUUGCUUCAGCGGGUAAGGUCUCCGUGACCCUCCCGGCCUCCCGCCCCCGGGCGGGUCGGCGCCCGCCGGAGGAUAAACAAACUCUGAUUUAACGACGUUUCUUCUGAGUGGUACAAGCAAAUAAUCAAAACUUUUAACAACGGAUCUCUUGGUUCUGGCAUCGAUGAAGAACGCAGCGAAAUGCGAUAAGUAAUGUGAAUUGCAAAAUUCAGUGAAUCAUCAAAUCUUUGAACGCACAUUGCGCCCGCCAGCAUUCUGGCGGGCAUGCCUGUUCAAGCGUCAUUUCAACCCUCAAGCUCUGCUUGGUGUUGGGGCCCUACAGCUGAUGUAGGCCCUCAAAGGUAGUGGCGGACCCUCCCGGAGCCUCCUUUGCGUAGUAACUUUACAUCUCGCACUAGAGAUCCAGAAGAACUCUUGCCAUAAAACCCCCAAUUUUCCAAAGGUUGACCUCGGAUCAAUAGAAUACCCGCUGAACUUAAGCAUAUCAAUAAACAGAGGA